UUCAACACUCUUUACUUUGCAAAUAAUUGAAGUCUCUGAAAUCAUUGUCAUCUGUUUUAAUAGCUUUUCGCUUAGCUAUGUCUGACUAGGGGAUGUUACAAAGCAGUUGUAUUUGUCAGCGUUUUUGUGGAUUUUGUUUGUCAGUUUGUUUACCAUCCUGUACAUAGGGUGCCAAAGGCAAAGAGGGUCUUAAUGGGCUUCCAGGGAAUCCUGGAGUUAAGGGAAAMCGAGGUCAGGAGGGUCUAAGGGGGAAACAAGGAAGCACAGGCCUACAGGGAUUGACAGGGAUAUAGAGGAGCUCCUGGCAUAGCAGGCAAUAUAGGACCAUGGGGUGAGGUGGGCCUCAAGGGCCCCCAGGACCAGUUGGGCCCCGUGGAGUUAUAGGUUACCCAGGGUCCAGAGGAGCUAUCGGACAGAAGGGAGUUGCUGGUGUCGAUGG